rnacentral:miRNA from 1 species
GCUUGCCUGAUAUAUAUAUAUAUAUAUAUAUAUAUAUAUAUAUACAUAUACAUAUAUAUAUAUAUUCCUGGGAAAAGUAU